rnacentral:rRNA from 1 species
UACGGAGGGUGCAAGCGUUAUCCGGAUUCACUGGGUUUAAAGGGUGCGUAGGCGGGCAGGUAAGUCCGUGGUGAAAUCUCUGAGCUUAACUCAGAAACUACCAUGGAUACUAUUUGUCUUGAAUAUUGUGGAGGUAAGCGGAAUAUGUCAUGUAGCGGUGAAAUGCUUAGAUAUGACAUAGAACACCAAUUGCGAAGGCAGCUGGCUACACAAAUAUUGACACUGAGGCACGAAAGCGUGGGGAUCAAACAGG